CCCUUAGAUGUUCUGGGCCGCACGCGCGCUACACUGAUGCAUUCAACGAGUUUCUUCCUGGUCCGAGAGGAAUGGGUAACCUUUUGAAAGUGCAUCGUGAUAGGGAUAGACCAUUGCAAUUAUUGGUCUUCAACGAGGAAUUCCUAGUAGACGUAGUUCAUCAGACUGCAUCGAUUACGUCCCUGCCCUUUGUACACACCGCCCGUCGCUCCUACCGAUUGAAUGCUCAGGUGAGCCAUUCGGACUUUCAUCAUGCUGGUUUCCAGUUUUGAUGAAGGAAAGUCUUGCGAACCUUAUCAUUUAGAGGAAGGAGAAGUCGUAACA
rnacentral:rRNA from 1 species